rnacentral:lncRNA from 13 species
UCAUAUCAAUACAGUAAAAGAGUCAUAUCAAUAGAGGAGAAAGAGUCAUAUCAAUACAGGAGAAAGAUUAAUAUCAAUACAGUAAAAGAGUAAUAUCAAUACAGGAGAAGGUGUCAUAUCAAUACAGGAGAAAGAGUCAUAUCAAUACAGGAGAAAGAGUCAUAUCAAUAGAGGAGAAAGAGUCAUAUCAAUACAGGAGAGUCAUGUCAAUAAAGUAAAAGAGUCAUAUCAAUACAGGAGAAAGAGUCAUAUCAAUACAGGAGAACGAGUCAUAUCAAUACAGGAGAAGGCUGACAUGGCAAGCUGGACACUGUAGACAUCCAUAGUAAUGUUUAUGUAGAAGAUUGAUUGUACCACGUAUACACACAUUUUCACUGACUCUCUUUUUUAACAUUAUCAUACAAACUGACAGCUCCUCCCUGAGAGGGUCACAUAAGCCCACACGCACGCACGCACGCACACACACACACACACACACACACACACACACACACACACACA